rnacentral:rRNA from 1 species
CGAGUUUGAUCCUGGCUCAGAUUGAACGCUGGCGGUAGGCCUAACACAUGCAAGUCGAACGCGAAAGUCCUUCGGGAUGAGUAGAGUGGCGACGGGUGAGUAACGCGUAGGAAUCUAUCCUGUAGUGGGGGAUAACGUUUCGAAAGGAACGCUAAUACCGCAUACGCCCCAAGGGGGAAANCGGGGGAUCUUCGGACCUCGUGCUAUAGGAGGAGCCUGCGUCGGAUUAGCUAGUUGGUGAGGUAAAGGCUCACCAAGGCGACGAUCCGUAGCUGGUCUGAGAGGAUGAUCAGCCACACCGGAACUGAGACACGGUCCGGACUCCUACGGGAGGCAGCAGUGGGGAAUAUUGCGCAAUGGGCGAAAGCCUGACGCAGCCAUACCGCGUGUGUGAAGAAGGCCUUCGGGUUGUAAAGCACUUUCAGUGGGGAGGAAAAGCUGGUGGCUAAUAUCCAUCGGCCGUGACGCUACCCACAGAAGAAGCACCGGCUAAUUCCGUG